rnacentral:rRNA from 1 species
UACAGAGGUGGCAAGCGUUGUUCGGAAUUACUGGGCGUAAAGGGCUCGUAGGCGGCCAACUAAGUCAGACGUGAAAUCCCUCAGCUUAACUGGGGAACUGCGUCUGAUACUGGAUGGCUUGGAUCCGGAAGAGGGAUGCGGAAUUCCAGGUGUAGCGGUGAAAUGCGUAGAUAUGCGGAGGAACACCGAUGGCGAAGGCAAUCCCCUGGGCCUGCACUGACGCUCAUGCACGAAAGCGUGGGGAGCAAACAGG